UGCUUGUUUCAGCAGUAAUGUAAUUAAACUGGAGUGAUACAGAGAAGAUUAGCAUGGCCCCUGCACGAGGAUGACACGAAAAUUUGUGAACCAUUUCAUACUUUU
ensembl:snRNA U6 U6 spliceosomal RNA